GCUCGGGCGACGGAGGAGGUGGAGAGGGGGGAGGAGGCGAGGGAGGGGGCGGAGAGGGAGGAGGAGGCGACGGGGGCGGCGGGGACGGAGGAGGAGGCGACGGGGGAGGCGGAGACGGAGGAUCGGGAGAGGGAGGGGGAGGAGGCGGCGGGCUGGGAGGUGGAGGCGACGGGGGAGGCGGCGAAGGAGGGGGAGGUGACGGCGGCGAUGGGCUGGGCGGAGGCGGGCUGGGCGGCGGGGGAGACGGCGGCGGAGGCGAUGGAGGGGGAGGCGAAGGGGGAGGCGGCGACGGAGGCGGAGGGCUGGGCGGAGGCGGGCUCGGGGGCUCAGGUGACGGAGGCUCGGGUGAAGGUGGCAGCGGCGACGGGGGGGUGGGGGAGGGCGGAGGCGAAGGAGGAAUGGGAGGAGAGGGAGGAAUCGGCUCCGGGGGCGGUGAGGGCGGUACGGGCGGGUUCGGGGGAGGAGGUGGAGAGGGAGGACGAGGCGACGGGGGAGGAGGCGAGGGCGAGGGAGGCGGAGGCAAGGGAGGAGAAGGGCUGGGAGGCAGCGGCGACGGCGGCAGGGGGCUCGGAGGAGGAGGGCUGGGAGGGG
rnacentral:lncRNA from 1 species